rnacentral:rRNA from 1 species
UACGUAGGGUGCAAGCGUUGCUCGGAAUUACUGGGCGUAAAGGGCUCGUAGGUGGCCAACUAAGUCAUACGUGAAAUCCCUCGGCUUAACCGGGGAACUGCGUCUGAUACUGGAUGGCUUGAGGUUGGGAGAGGGAUGCGGAAUUCCAGGUGUAGCGGUGAAAUGCGUAGAUAUCUGGAGGAACACCGGUGGCGAAGGCGGCAUCCUGGACCAAUUCUGACACUGAGGAGCGAAAGCCAGGGGAGCAAACGGG